rnacentral:pre_miRNA from 1 species
UUAACUCAAAUAUGUAUGGAGUUUGAAGGAUUACGUUUACCGCUAGGGGCGCUGUUCCAACUGCAUACAAUUUUGAGUUA